rnacentral:rRNA from 1 species
GUGUCGUGAGAUGUUCGGUUAAGUCCGCUAACGAGCGCAACCCUGCUGUGUGUUACAAGUGUCACGCGGUACUGCCGGUCUUAAGCCGGAGGAAGGUGGGGAUGACGUCAAGUCAGCAUGGCCUUUAUGUCCUGGGCUACACACACGCUACAAUGGCCAACACAAUAGGUUGCUAAGCCGCGAGGUGGAGCCAAUCCUCAAAGUUGGUCUCAGUUCAGAUUGCAGGCUGCAACCCGCCUGCAUGAAGAUGGAGUUGCUAGUAACCGCAGGUCAGCUAUACUGCGGUGAAUACGUUCCCGGGCUU